AUAGCAUGAGAACCUGAAUCGCUGGCAGCCAGCAACUGGUGUGGGACUCCAAUCCAGAUCACGAUGUCAAAGACCAGACCGAAGUAUCUGAGAAUGUCAAAUACAGAUGUGAUGCUCCGGUGACCACCAGUGCUGGAAAUC